rnacentral:rRNA from 1 species
UACGUAGGUGACAAGCGUUGUCCGGAUUUAUUGGGCGUAAAGAGCUCGUAGGCGGUUUGUUGCGUCGGCUGUGAAAUCCCGAGGCUCAACCUCGGGUCUGCAGUCGAUACGAGCAAACUAGAGUGUUGCAGGGGAGACUGGAAUUCCUGGUGUAGCGGUGAAAUGCGCAGAUAUCAGGAGGAACACCGGUGGCGAAGGCGGGUCUCUGGGCAACAACUGACGCUGAGGAGCGAAAGCGUGGGGAGCGAACAGG